AAGACGAGUCAAUCACGUUCUCCUAAUGUCGCCACUAUACCCUUUGACCCCAGCCACGCGUCUGGAGAGCGUGCAAGGCGGCGGUAAACAAACUAGCGACUUGCUAAAGCUAAGGGACAGAAUGGAGACGACCGACUAAGAAGACUCAGCCACUUACGGGAUUAUCGCUCUAUUUAUAAACAUGGAAGCAGCGCUGGAGUCAACACACGAGUGUUCACAUUCACUGAUCAUCAACAGUGAGAGCCAUUAUCCACAAAUGGUGAAAACAUGGAACAGUGGUGAACCUUCCCAGGAGUCGCCGGCCAACCGAAAUUGCCCCAAGAGAGCAGCGACGACUCAUCCAAGAGGUCACACAAGACCCCACAACAACAUCCAAAGAACUGCAGGCCUCACUUGCCUCAGUUAAGGAAGGAAGGAGAAUGUCCAGCCUUCUGUUGGUGACCUCAAGCUGAAACCAACUUGGGUUCUGCAGCAGGACAAUGAUCCAAAACACACCAGCAAGUCCACCUCUGAAUGGCUGAAGAAAAACAAAAUGAAGACUUUGGAGUGGCCUAGUCAAAGUCCUGACCUGAAUCCUAAUGAGAUGCUGUGGAUGACCUUAAAAAGGCGCUUCAUGCUGGAAAACCCUCCAAUGUGGCUGAAUGACAACAAUUCUGCAAAGAUGAGUGGGACAAAAUUCCUCCACAGCGCUGUAAGACACUCAUUGCAAGUUAUCACAAAUGCUUGAUUGCAGUUGUUGCUGCUAAGGGGGCCCAACCAGUUAUUAGGUUUAGGGGGCAAUCACUUUUUCACACAGG